AGCAGCUUGGCGCAGUGGAAGCGCGGUAUGUCUUGUUCAAAUGUCGAUUUUCAUUCAAUUACUAACCCCUCUCAGCCGGGCUCAUAACCCGGAGGUCACUGGAUCGAAACCAGUAGCUGCUA